rnacentral:rRNA from 1 species
AUUGAACGCUGGCGGCAUGCUUUACACAUGCAAGUCGAACGAGUGGCGAACGGGUGAGUAAUAUAUCGGAACGUACCGAGUAAUGGGGGAUAACCAAUCGAAAGAUUGGCUAAUACCGCAUAUUAUUCGAGCGGCCGAUAACUGAUUAGCUAGUUGGUGGGGUAAAGGCCUACCAAGGCGACGAUCAGUAGCGGGUCUGAGAGGACGAUCCGCGACACUGGGACUGAGACAGAGCCCAGACUCCUACGGGAGGCAGCAGUGGAGAAGUUUGGAAAAAGGGGGCAACCCGGAUCCAGCCAUGCAGCGAGUAUGAAGAAGGCCUUCGGGUUAUAAAGUACUUUUGUUAGGGAAGCGGUACCUAUAGAAUAAGCACCGGCUAACUACGUGCAAGCAGACGCAGUAAUUC